rnacentral:rRNA from 1 species
AUACGUAGGGGGCAAGCGUUAUCCGGAUUUACUGGGUGUAAAGGGAGCGUAGACGGCGAAGCAAGUCUGAAGUGAAAGGACGGGGCCCAACCCCGGAACUGCUUUGGAAACUGUUUGGCUGGAGUGCGGGAGGGGUAAGCGGAAUUCCUAGUGUAGCGGUGAAAUGCGUAGAUAUUAGGAGGAACACCGGUGGCGAAGGCGGCUUACUGGACCGUAACUGACGUUGAGGCUCGAAGGCGUGGGGAGCAAACAGGAUUAGAUACCCUGGUAGUCCACGCGGUAAACGAUGAUCACUAGGUGUCCGUGGGUAUGGCCCAUGGGUGCCGCAGCCAACGCAAUAAGUGAUCCACCUGGGGAGUACGUUCGCAAGAAUGAAACUCAAAGGAAUUGACGGGG